UAGGUGAACCUGCGGAAGGAUCGAUGAAGAACGUAGCGAAAUGCGAUACCUGGUGUGAAUUGCAGAAUCCCGCGAACCAUCGAGUCUUUGAACGCAAGUUGCACCCGAGGCCACUCGGCCGAGGGCACGCCUGCCUGGGCAUCA
rnacentral:rRNA from 1 species